AUUGAACGCUGGCGGCCGGCCUAACACAUGCAAGUCGAGCGAGCGGCGGACGGGUGAGUAAUGUCUGGGAAACUGCCUGAUGGAGGGGGAUAACUACUGGAAACGGUCGCUAAUACCGCAUACCAUCAGAUGUGCCCAGAUGGGAUUAGCUGGUAGGUGGGGUAACAGCUCACCUAGGCGACGAUCCCUAGCUGGUCUGAGCGGAUGACCAGCCAAACGGGAACGGCGACAAGGUCCAGACGCCUACGGGAGGCAGCAGUGGGGAAUAUUGCACAAUGGGCGCAAGCCUGAUGCAGCCAUGCCGCGUGUGUGAAGAAGGCCGUCGGGUUGUAAAGCACUUUCAGCGGGGAGGCGUUACCCGCAGAAGAAGCACCGGCUAACUCCGUGCCAGCAGCCGCGGUAAUAC
rnacentral:rRNA from 1 species